rnacentral:lncRNA from 1 species
AUGUUGCCCCAUUCUGACCCUGAGAGCACCUGGCAGGUAUGUGGAAAAAAGAAAUGUGCAUUAAAACAGAGACACUGAUAAUCAAGUUAUGGGAAGCUCUGGGGUGGUAGAAGAUUGUUACGCAAAUGCAUGAGACAAAGUGGAAGAAAGAGAGAGAAAGACAAGAUCAUUCCAUCCCGGAAAUAGACGAGGGUAUGAUAUAAUGAAAAGAGCAUGGAGUUUGGAGCAAGACCUAAGAUCAAGAGUGAUGUUGAUGCAGCUAGUUUGGAGACCUUGCUUUGAGAAUCACUGAGAUGAACUGUCUACCCUACAUAUAAAUCAACCUAAAUUUUGUAUAGAAAAAUUCAUGGAAUGUAUGGGAUUCUUGUUUCCAGACCAGGUUACAUCACAAUUUUUAAAAUUUCACUGUGGAAAAAGUUACAAACGAAUGUAAACUUACCAGAAGUAAGAAAGAUAUAAUAUUUCCAAACCAGACACAGAGGAAAAUACAUCUAUUUCCUAUCAUUAAAUACUUACAAGAAGUAAAAGAUAAAAAGAAAGAGCCAAUGGAUGUAGGAAGCUUUGGGACCUCUCCUCUCCAGCUAUCUGAGAGAUACUGCUUCCCGCAAACAGUUUGCCUCUGUGAUCCUUAUUUACCUCUACCUUUUCCAUGAGAUUGAGAACACUAUAAGAAAGCCUACAAAUGCUAUGGUUGCACAUACAGAAAAAUCCAAGACCUCAGAGACUUCUUCCCAUCACUCUUUGAUGUAACUGAUUUCUCCCCAUCAGUAUCCUGAUCAUCUGGUUCCUUCAUUUCCUCUGAUCCAGGAUGACCCACCAGUAGGAGGGUGCAACUACCACCAGAGACCUCUGACCUCUGCAAGACAGCUAAUUAUAAUCACAGAUUCUCUUUCUCUAGGUAAAUUGUCAUUGUGGUGCACUUUGGUUUUCCAGAGGUCCACUACCAAAGUUCAUCUUUUCCCCAGAUGCUUCACCAUUAAAAUUAACUUUCUGCCAUCC